rnacentral:misc_RNA from 1 species
UUUCCGUAGGUGAACCUGCGGAAGGAUCAUUACUGAGUGAGGGCCCUCUGGGUCCAACCUCCACCCGUGUUUAUUAUACCUUGUUGCUUCGGUGAGCCCGCCUCACGGCCGCCUGGGGGCAUCUGCCUCCGGGCCCGCGCCCACCGAAGACACCUAGAACUCUGUAUGAAGAUUGCAGUCUGAGCAAAAACUAAAUAAGUUAAAACUUUCAACAACGGAUCUCUUGGUUCUG